rnacentral:rRNA from 1 species
UACGGAGGAUCCAAGCGUUAUCCGGAAUCAUUGGGUUUAAAGGGUCCGUAGGCGGACCUGUAAGUCAGUGGUGAAAUCCGGCGGCUUAACCGUCGAACUGCCAUUGAUACUGCAGGUCUUGAAUUAUUGGGAAGUAACUAGAAUAUGUAGUGUAGCGGUGAAAUGCUUAGAUAUUACAUGGAAUACCGAUUGCGAAGGCAGGUUACUACCAAUACAUUGACGCUGAUGGACGAAAGCGUGGGGAGCGAACAGG